rnacentral:tRNA from 1 species
GGGCCUAUGGUGUAGCCUGGAUAGCACAGAUGGCUUCGGACCAUCAGACAGGGGUUCGAAUCCUCUUAGGCCCA